GACGAACCGUGCGAACGUUGUUCGGAAUCACUGGGCUUAAAGGGCGCGUAGGCGGCUUGUCAAGUCAGGGGUGAAAUCUUUCGGCUCAACCGGAAAAGUGCCCUUGAUACUGACAGGCUCGAGGGAGGUAGGGGCAUGUGGAACUUCUGGUGGAGCGGUGAAAUGCGUUGAUAUCAGAAGGAACGCCGGUGGCGAAAGCGACGUGCUGGACCUCUUCUGACGCUGAGGCGCGAAAGCUAGGGGAGCAAACGGG
rnacentral:rRNA from 1 species